rnacentral:rRNA from 1 species
GACGGGACCCGCACAAGCGGUGGAUGAUGUGGAUUAAUUCGAUGCAACGCGAAAACCUUACCUACCCUUGACAUGUCCGGAAUCCUGCAGAGAUGCGGGAGUGCCCGAAAGGGAAUCGGAACACAGGUGCUGCAUGGCUGUCGUCAGCUCGUGCCGUGGGAUGUUGGGUUAAGUCCCGCAACGAGCGCAACCCUUGCCAUUAGUUGCUACGAAAGGGCACUCUAAUGGGACUGCCGGUGACAAACCGGAGGAAGGUGGGGAUGACGUCAAGUCCUCAUGGCCUUUAUGACCAGGGCUACACACGUACUACAAUGGCCGGUACAAAGGGCAGCGACACAGCGAUGUGAAGCCAAUCCCGAAAAGCCGGUCUCAGUCCGGAUUGGAGUCUGCAACUCGACUCCAUGAAGUUGGAAUCGCUAGUAAUCGCGGAUCAGCACGCCGCGGUGAAUACGUUCCCGGGCCUU